UAGAGUUUGAUCAUGGCUCAGAUUGAACGCUGGCGGCAGGCCUAACACAUGCAAGUCGAACGGUAGCAUUUCUAGCUUGCUAGAAGAUGACGAGUGGCGGACGGGUGAGUAAUGCUUGGGAACUUGCCUUUGCGAGGGGGAUAACAGUUGGAAACGACUGCUAAUACCGCAUAAUGUCUACGGACCAAACGGGGCUUCGGCUCCGGCGCAAAGAGAGGCCCAAGUGAGAUUAGCUAGUUGGUAAGGUAACGGCUUACCAAGGCGACGAUCUCUAGCUGUUCUGAGAGGAAGAUCAGCCACACUGGGACUGAGACACGGCCCAGACUCCUACGGGAGGCAGCAGUGGGGAAUAUUGCACAAUGGGGGAAACCCUGAUGCAGCCAUGCCGCGUGUGUGAAGAAGGCCUUCGGGUUGUAAAGCACUUUCAGUUGUGAGGAAAAGUUAGUAGUUAAUACCUGCUAGCCGUGACGUUAACAACAGAAGAAGCACCGGCUAACUCCGUGCCAGCAGCCGCGGUAAUACGGAGGGUGCGAGCGUUAAUCGGAAUUACUGGGCGUAAAGCGCACGCAGGCGGUUUGUUAAGCUAGAUGUGAAAGCCCCGGGCUC
rnacentral:rRNA from 1 species